rnacentral:rRNA from 1 species
AGUGAACGCUGGCGGCGUGCUUAACACAUGCAAGUCGAACGAUGAAGCCGGAGCUUGCUCUGGUGAAUUAGUGGCGAACGGGUGAGUAACACGUGAGUAACCUGCCCUUGACUCUGGGAUAACUGCGGGAAACUGUAGCUAAUACCGGAUACGACCCUCGGAGGCAUCUCCUGGGGGUGGAAAGAAUUUCGGUCAAGGAUGGACUCGCGGCCUAUCAGCUAGUUCGUGAGGUAACGGCUCACCAAGGCGACGCCGGGUAGCCGGCCUGAGAGGGUGACAGGCCACACUGGGACUGAGACACGGCCCAGACUCCUACGGGAGGCAGCAGUGGGGAAUAUUGCACAAUGGGCGCAAGCCUGAUGCAGCAACGCCGCGUGAGGGAUGACGGCCUUCGGGUUGUAACCCUCUUUUAGCAGGGAAGAAGCGAAAGUGACGGUACCUGCAGAAAAAGCACCGGCUAACUACGUGCCAGCAGCCGCAGUAA